AGAAGGAGAAGAAGGAGAAGAAGAAGAAGAAGAAAAAGGGUCCGUCACAAGAGGAUUCUCCAUGAAAAAAAAUGUCUCUUUCCCUUUUUCUUUUUUCUUUUUCUUUUUUUUUUCGC
rnacentral:ribozyme from 1 species